UUCCGCAAUUUUCGACGUUAGGCACUACAUGUCAAGUUUUACAGAACGUAACGUCAAAACAAGUAAAAAAGCAUGGUGUGACAUUAUGACUAGACAAAAGUAGUCGCUGACUGUGUCGUUAAUACUUCCGACAUGUGAUCGAAAAUGGGUUCAAAAAAAUCCCUGAACAGUAGAUUUUAAUGUUAUAUAGUAUUUUUUGUGCUAUUAUAAUUUCAAAUUUCCCCCCCUCCAAAACUGUAUAAUAUGACUUAUCAUACUUGUAACAAAAAUG
rnacentral:lncRNA from 1 species